rnacentral:rRNA from 1 species
CAAACCAAAGCUGGCGACCGGCGCACGGGUGAGUAACACGUAUCCAACCUGCCUCAUACUCGGGGAUAGCCUUUCGAAAGAAAGAUUAAUAUCCGAUAGCAUAUAUUUCCCGCAUGGGUUUUAUAUUAAAGAAAUUCGGUAUGAGAUGGGGAUGCGUUCCAUUAGUUUGUUGGGGGGUAACGGCCCACCAAGCCUUCGAUGGAUAGGGGUUCUGAGAGGAAGGUCCCCCACAUUGGAACUGAGACACGGUCCAA